CCGACUAAUACCCCCAUAGCAUCAACUUUAGGCAUCUUUAGUUGAUUAAAGAAUUUCGGAAAACGGAUAGGCUCGCGUGACAUUAGCUAGAUGGCGGGGUAACGGCCACCAUGGCGACGAUGUCUAGGGGUUCUGAGAGGAAGGUCCCCCCACACUGGAACUGAGACACGGUCCAGACUCCUACGGGGAGGCAGCAGUGAGGAAUAUUGGUCAAUGGUCGAAGGACUGAACCAGCCAUGCCGCGUGAAGGUGACGGCCCUAUAGGUCUUAAACUUCUUUUGUAAGGGAGCAAUAAGUUCUACGUGUAGGAUGAUGAGAGUACCUUACGAAUAAGCAUCGGCUAACUCCGUG
rnacentral:rRNA from 1 species